CUAAAAUCACCCAAAUCUUUGGAUAUCAAAACUUACUGAUCAUCGACCGUCCAUUUUCUCUCGAUCUGGGUCGGAGGUUUUAUAUGAAUCUCACCAACAAAGCAAAAUAACGGUCCUAUCGACGGCUGAGAUAGGCUCGGCUUCAAGGGGGACUCGAGAAGCAAGCGAAAGAUCGGAUUAUAUACGCCCCUCCAUCCCAUUUUUUUUCCUCCUAAUUCCGUCCAAAUUCCCCCAGAAAUUAUUACCCGGGAUCACAAGGAGGAGGAAACAAAGGAUUUUUUUUACAUAUAUCAUAUACAUAUAAAAUCCAAGAAUCCAUUCUUCCCCAUCUUCUUGGGCUCGUUCGAUCUCCUCCUUUGCUGUCAAUAAAGAAGAAAUCAGCGUUUACAAUUGGGGCCUGUCAUCUUUGUUAUCAUGAGAUUAUUCAAGAAAGGAAAUAAGGUGGAGGUAUUGAACAAGAGGGAGGUGCCAUCAGGCUCUUGGUGGUGUGCUGAGAUAAUCUCCGGCAAUGGGCAGAACUACUAUGUUAAGUAUGAUAGUUAUCCAGCAAACAUGGGUGCAGCUGUGGAAAGAGUAUCAAGAAAGGCCAUUAGACCAUGUCCACCGUUGGUGAAAAGCCCAAGUGAUUGGGUGCCUGGAGACAUUGCUGAGGUCUUGGACAAUAGCUCGUGGAAGCUUUCAGAGGUUUUGAGGGUUGGUGGCGAUGGUUACUUUUUUGUAAGGCUUCUUGGAUCCUCGAGGGAGUUCAAAGUCCAUGUAUCUGACCUCAGGCUGCGACAAUCUUGGCUAGAUGGAAAAUGGGUUGUGAUUCAAAAGGAUUCUGGAAAACAUGAUCGUAGAAUGAUAAGCAAUCUGUCAAAAGGAAAGAAAUUCAGCUGCCAGAGGCCUUGGCCAUGUCUAGAAAGUCAUAAUGCUGUUGUGCUCUCAAGAGGCAUGAAGAAAAGGCCACGAGUCUCAUCACAACCUGUUGAGAGAUGCACUGAAGCUAGCAGAAAGAUGAGGGCACUUGAGAAAUAUGGACGGUGUGAGCAAAGGGGCGGAGGGCGUUCCCUCCAGCCCUGGGAAAAGGUAGAUGUUGUUGCUUCCCCACGAAGGGUACUGGGUGAAAAAUGCUUGCUUGCUUCGUUAAACAACAGAAUGACUGGGUUUUCUAAAAUGGCCUCAUGGAGGGGAUUGCCAAAUAUCAAUAUUAAAUAUUUUCCUGUAACAAGUUCAGAACCUAGUGAUGCUGAGAGUACCUCAUCCUCUGUUGGUAGUUGCAGUACCAGCAAUAGCCCAUAUAGAUCACUCCAGUGUCCUGGAAUGGUUCCUACCCAAGAUUUGUCUAGUCAUUCAGAUGAUGCUGAAAUUUCUUGUGGGUCAGGAAGAGAAUCGUCUCUUCCUACUGAAGAGGUGUUACCAACAGAAACUCAUCAGCUGGAGUUGCACGCCUACCGUUCCACUAUGAUGGCAUUGUAUGCUUCUGGGCCCAUUAGUUGGGAACAGGAGGCAUUGAUGACAAACCUGCGCCUUAUGCUAAACAUAUCAAAUGAUGAACAUUUAUUGGAGCUAAAGAAUUUAGUGUCUUCCGAAAUAGGCACAAUCCCUCUCAGGUCAAUGCUGGAGGCUUGUAAAGCAUGCUUCCGUUGGUCCCUGAUGAUGACUUUAUCUCAAGAAGUUUGAGUGGUAUUUAGAACAACAGAAAAAUGAGCUUUUGAAGCGGUGCAUGCAUUUGUAUAAUUAUACAUAUUUCUUUGAGGAAAAUGAUGGUCCAGAACUUAGUAGAUAUGGAACGAGCAUGUGGUAGCACCGUAGCAGUAUUACAAUGUGGUAAAAAUGUGAAUGCUGGAUGCCCAUAUCUAAAAGUUUAAGUUUGCAUUUAUGGAGUGCUGGUUCAGGUCUGUCAAGAUUGAUGAAAUGGUAUUUUUUUCUUUUCCACAACUAUUUAUUUUUAUGCUGUCUUCACCUUCUUCCUUCCAAAAAUUGUUGUGGGUGUAAAUAAAUUUGUGGAAGUUUCUAACAGUGAUAAAUUUUGGAGACCAUCUUUGUCCAAUUAUAAUAUUUUUAUGCAUUUCAUAUAGUGUAGCAGCUAGUAUUUCUAUUUUGCCAAACACAGUACAAUACUGUCUGCAAUGGUAUGAAAAAUGAACUCUAUAUUUGACCUAAUAGUGGCGCCCAUUCUCACAUAAUCUAGUGAAGAGGGCUUUUACAUAACCUGAGCUGCAAAUCUGGCAAUAGCCUCUUAAAGUUUCUUGCUGCUUCUGGGGUUAUUCUGCUGGGGGUAGUCAUUGCAUAAAGAAUCUUUCUUUAUCUAGAAUAAAUGUUUUCUUUUUGCUUAAUAUUCCAAGCAAAAGGAACAUUUUUUUUGGCAGAAACUUUCAGUACUGUUGAUGCACUGAAGGACUGAACUAAGCAAAUCAGAAUUUUAGAAUGUUGAGGAUGUUUUGUGACUUUUGUCUCCAUGGUCAGAACUAAGGUAUGCCGUAAAGAUUCUAUAUGUUUUCAUUAGGAAGAUGGAAAUAUCAGUAAUGCAUCCGGGCAUGUUGUGUACUUUCUUAGAGAUCAAGAUCAAGAUUGGGUAGUCUUUUCUUUGAAUAUAAAAGGUUUGCCUGUUAAUAUAAUAGGAUAGGCAUGAGUAGUUUCGGGGCACACAAUAAGGGCUACUUGUGCCAUUUUCUUUUCUUUUCUUUUCAUUUUUCCUGCUUAAGAGUGGAAAAUGUAAGUAAAUGCCUUCAAGAUUUGCAAACUUCUAAGAACUUCUAACCUUUGGUAAUUGCUUUGGAGAUUGUAAAUGAAAAUUUUGAACAGGGAAAAGAAGUUGAAAAUAUGUAGCUCUUGCGUCAAACCAUGAGAUAUGAAUUUAGCAUCCUUAGGAGUCUCAGUUCUAGACUUAAAAUAGGAUUCACAGUCUAUGAUUAUGGAGAGAAGGGAGAAUUCUGAUGGAGUAAUAUAAGUUGUGAUCAAGGAUUUAAUUUGAAAUUCAGAACUUUACCCUUUUUUUUGUGGUUAGACAGGGUCCUAAUGCUUUGAAAUUGUGCAGAAAAUUAUACAAAUUUCAUGCCACCAAUAUUCCAAUAAUUUAUCCAACUGAAACUAAUAUGCUUCGCAGGAGGUGUAAUUGAUAAUGUUUCUGUUUUACGUAGUGAAACUGGUUCAGUGUAAGCUAAAAAUUCUUAUAUCGUCCUAUUUCAGAUUGGCCCUUUAGAUGUUGGAGAUAUUCUAUGAACAAAAUCUAAUUCUGGAAUCUGGAUGGACAAAGAGAUUAUUUUGGAUGUUGAGAUCUAGGCAUGCAUGGACAAAAGAAAGGCAGAGAACUCAUUGAUAGGCAGAAGGAGAUGUACAAUGUUAUUUUUGAUUUGAAGGUUAAAGAUUGGAGGAUCUAGGGGCAGCAAUGUGUCCGAUUCUGCUGGGGUCAGUCUCCUAGAUGAAGCUCAUAUGAGGUUGACUUGAAACUGAACCAACCUGCUAGCAGAUGAGCCAUGAACGACUUAACCCUACCCAGGAUCAACCCAGCUGUCCGAGUCUGAUUUAUUUACCCUUCUAAGAGAAGGUAAUAGGGAGUAGUUACAUGCCAGCCAGAUCUAGCGAUUGUUGGUCGCAGAUGGUGAUGAGGCAGCUGGAUUAGUCAUAAUACAGAUAAGUAUCAUUGAGUUGGCUGCAUUGAGUGGUGGGUAGGCAAUUCAGAUCUGGUGAUGGGUCAGUUGGAUCUAUGUUAGAAUGGCCUAAUCUAGCUGGGGAGCUGCUGCUGAUAUGGCAGUGUGGUGGCCAGAUUUGUGUUGGCAUGAUUGGAUCUAGUGGUAGGGUGUACAGAUCUAGCACUGGAGUGGCCUGAUUUGGUAGUGGGGUGGUCAAAUUGGGCAAUGAAAUGGUUCAAUCUAGCAAUUGGGCAUCCUAAUUUGGUGGUGUGGAAGCUAGACCUGUGUUGGUGUGGCCAGCUCAGGUAGUGGGAUGGCUGGAUCAGCAGUGGCCAUGGUGGUGUGAUGGAAUGUGAUAGGUGCUACAGGGGAUGAUCAGUGGAGGCUUGAUCUCAAGGAGAGGAGGAAAGGGGGGAAGAGGAGAGGAAAAGUGAAGAGGAAGAGAGAGCAAUAAGGAAUAACCAACUGCGACUGAGGUAUGAAGAGAAGGGAUGAGAACAGGUUAUGGAAUUGCUUUUAGCCUUUUACUAAUACUCGUGUUAAUGCAUCAUCAUUAUCAUUUAGUUUAUGUAAAACAUUAGUUUGAUUGGUUCGACUUGAAUCUGACCUGACCAAUUAAUGGGUCAGCUUUAUCUGCUUUGUGACCUAAACCCGAUCUAUGGAACAAAUUUUUUGGGUUGAAUGGGUCGUGUCCAGAUAAGGUCAAGUAAAUUAGUUCAGGUCAAGAUCGCCAUCCCUAGGAGUAUCCUUGCAUGGACUGCAAGUUGUUGGCCAUGUAUUUUAAAAGAUAUUCUAUAUGCAAAGGUUAUUGAGACUAAGGGCCGUAGGCUGGAAAUACAAAAGAUCAGUAGAGUCAAAAGCAUUGGAUAUAGUAAAUAUAUUUUAAGGAUGAGAACCAAUAAAAUAAUUCUUGUGAUGUUUAGAGAUAUGGUCCCCUGAUCUGAUGGUUUUAUACCUUGAUUUUCAUGCUGAAAGGGAUGCUUUCCCAAUUAAGUCUUUUAUUGAAGUGUGUUGAUUUUCAUGGUUUCUUGAUUGCUCAUUAAUUCCUCGGUGCUAGAUUUGACAGUAAAGUUUCAACGCUUUUAUGUAAAAGAACCUUGGGAAAGGAGGUUUUCUUGUGCAUAUUGUGCAUACACUGGUGCCGAAAUGAGAUGUUUUGAAAGGUUUUCAGAUAUAUGGCAACUCAAGGGUUGAACUCUCUCUUUCAGUUUUCAUUUUUUAUUGAUGAAAGGCUCUUCUAUAUGUUUAUUUGUUGUUUGUAUGCUUUGAAGCAACACACUCACCUUUCUUUUUAGUUCGGUAGAUUAUGUUAUAUCAGUUUUUCAGGUGGUAGUUUGAUUGCAGUUUUGUCUGCAUAUAGUGGGUUCAUCCUCAGCAUGCUGAUGAAACUGUAUUUCCUUCCUAUGGCGCCUAUAAGUUUCUGCACCAUAGUUAGCAUGCAUUAGUCCUUAGGUAAAAUUUAAUCUAAAAAUGUUUCAGGCAGAGAAUCUCCCCUUGAAAUUAGAAUUUGAUCACUGGUAGAUUAAGUUUAACAUAUGAUUUAGUUUUUGUGAUAUAUGAAUUGAUCAAAUUAUAAAAUCUUGUUUCAUACUGAAUGCUGGAGUUUGCCUAACAGAAAACAAACAGUGAAACCUAGACUUUUCUGGUCUGUGCUGUUGUGAAUGCCUCUCUUGAAAAAUUAGUAAAAUUGCAUGCGCGGAUGCCUCUAAGUCCAAUCAAAAUUUAGAACUUUUACUAGCUCAUCAUAAAUAAAAUCAAUGCUGAAAAAGGAAGUUGACAUGUAAAAUACUGUACAGAUAUACCUUCUGUCUUCGGAGUAUUAUGUUGGUUCCUCUCUCUCUCUCUCUCUCUCUCUCUCUCUCUCCCCCCCCUCUGUCUAUCCAUCUAAGCAUGUCUAUUCCUCUGUAAACUAUUUUCUAGCGUUAUAUGGAGGUUUAACUUAAUAUCUUGUACUGAAAUGGAAGAUAAAAUUAUCAGUGUCCGUGGCAACAGAUUGGCAGUUGGGUGCUGUGGUGACAGAUGGAUAGUUGAGUGGAGAGUUGCACCUGAAUGUUAGUUCUUUUCUAUUAGGCAUUAGUAUCUAUCAUUCCUCCUGGUAAGGGUGUAACUAAGUUGCACAAAUUUUCAUUGGACUAAAUUCUAACCUAAUUUUUAAUUUAUCCCAUUGAAUUUCAUAUCUAUGGGAUGAUAAUGGUUACCAAAUUGAGACCAAAGCUCUGAUUUAGUCAGAGUCAAUUUGGUAUAUUUUCUUCAUGUAACUCCGAGCUGGGUAAAGAUAUUCAAAGGCUGCUCCUUCCCGACUUGCAGAUGAGAGCGGAACAGAGGCUUCCUUGAUAUCCAGAAUGGGAUGGAUAACUGUUAAGUGAAGUCUGAAUAUCACUUCUAUAUAUAUAACUGAAAAAGCUUUGUCAGUAUUAAUAGCGAAAAAGGUGUGGCAUGAAUAUUCUAAAGCCUCUCUCUCUAGAAGUUCGCUCUCCUUUUUCCGAGAUGGUUUUCAUUACAUGAGUGGGGAAGAAAAUGAAACAUACUGUCAGGAAGAUGAGUCUAUAAUUUUAAGACCAACUCUCUAAAUGUACAUUUUUGGCCUCUUAUCUGCAAUUCGUCUAGUACUGUUUUCUUUCGAGUCUGUUAUUUGCAAAAUGGUUUACAUAAUGAUGAUAUCAAGAAAAUCUGGUUCCAAACAGCACAUUGAUUGAUGGAAUCACAACCAUCUUGUAUGUUGUCUCUCCUCUUGUAUCAGUCUUCUAUACUGCUUGUGAUGAAAUUAUAGUUGGUCAUCUGAUUCACCUUUUUUUUGGGUUAUGUGUUCACAUUAUGUGCAAAUAUUUAGCCACUUUAAAUAGAACAGCAAGAGAUCUAGUAGAUAUCAUUUUAUCAUUUCAUAAGAUCACAACUACCUAUCCUUCUGCUUGAAUCAAUCAAGCGUGUUAUGCUAAUUGUUGUCAAUUUAAAAGAUAUCCUGUUAUGCUAACCUCAUAACUUGCAACAUUCAAUAAUAUAUAUUGAUGACCAGCUAAAAUAGUCAAUUAAAAGACCUCUGACCAGGGUAUAGACCAAGUGGAAAACAUUAAAGACACUAGGAAAGGAUUAUGUCCUAGCCCUUCCAGCCAUCUCGGAUCAGAUUUGUGAGAUGUCAGGUUUGGGACCCCGGUACAUGAAAAGUCAGGUUGUCCUUGUAAGUACCGGUUAGUACGAAUGAGAUGGUGAUUGGGAUGGCCGAUACCUUAAUCCUAAAUUAUAGGACAGAAUGGCCUUAAAAAUAUCUAAACAAUCAUUAGAAACAACAAAUCAUAGAAAAAAAAUAAUAUAAAAAACCAGCACACCUGUGAAACACCCGGAUGCUAGCAUAUCCUAAGUGUUGGGAGAGUACCAUCCUGAUAUUGGCCCAACCUGGUCCCUGAUCAAUACCAGGUCCAGGAUAUGGAUUUAAAACUUCGAUACUAACACAUAACACAUAUUGUGACUAAAUUGUCCGAUCAUCAUUUAAUGUGCACAAGACAUAGUAUAUAAGGACAAGAAAUUACCUUUUAUCUCUUGAUGCGAUGCUGGCUGGUGAGUACCAUUAUAAAUGUGAAAGAAAAGGUUCCCACGAAGUAGAUCAAGCCCUGAAACCUGCAACCCAUCUUGCAAGUGGAUUCACAAGAUUUAAGCAUAGAUUUGCAGGAUCUAACCCCAAAUUUUUUAAAAGCAGUUAUAUAAGCCAAAUUUAAUCAUAGUGUUGUUUAAACCUUUAUGUUGGCACCAAAUGGAGGGUCAUGUUUAAAUAUCAUUGGAAGAAGCUGAACUGGAUAUAUUUUAUUUGUAACCUAAUUUAUUUCAGAUUAAUUAUAUCAUGUCUGAGUUGGAGCAAAUCUAAUAGGGAGGUAAUGUUUUGAAUCUUACUCCUCCAUUUGGCUAUUGUAUUUAUGGAUCAUUUUUUUGAAUUAUUUUAUUUUGGUUCUUAGAGAUUUUAUGUUUCAGUAUUCUAGUAUUGGAAGAAAUGAAAAGUUGUAGUACUGGCCUUUUCUCUUAUCUCCACUAGUUGCUUCAUUUUGUAGGUCACAUUAUCUUUAUGGGCUAUGCAUCUAAAAGAAUCUGGAUUGGAGAUAACUAAGAAAAGCUGUACAACUUAAGAAAGUAAAUAGGAAAAAAAACUAAGAAAAACUUUGAAAUUAAGGAAAGUAAAUGUGGAGAUAAGCAAUUGUCAAGAAAAGACUUUUAGUUUUUGUUCUUGCUCACCUGUCCUAUCGUUGGAGCAAUGACUGGUGUUGAAUUUUGCUUUCCAUAACUUAGUUUUGACCACACCUUUCCUAAAUUCUUAUUUUUAAAAAAUUUUCAGGUUCUUGUAAGAUGUUCUUUCGGCUUUCUAGUCCAUUAUUUUCGCCUCCUAUCUUCUUUGAGCGAAGAUGAUUUAUCUAUUGGAUGCGGGGUGAAUAGAACGAUCAAGGUAGAGAUUUAGCGGUCAAGACUAUAUAUAUAUAUAUUUAGAGAGAGAGAGAAAGAGAUGGCUAUACUUAAGUGGAUCUCCACUCGCAUAUGGUCAAGUCUAGAUCAGACGACAAAAAUCCCACAUCGAUGAUCCAAGCCUUUAGAUGUGAUCUAUUACUUCUAAACUGUUUGCAUGCAAAAAGUCAUGUGAUUUGGAGAUCUUUAGCUUAUUCAUCAAGUGAGCAAAAAGAUGGGCAACUUAAAUAAUACAAAACAAUACAUUUUUGACCAUUUGAUGCAUAGGCUAGGGGUCUCCAAAUUACAUAAUUUUUGGAGUGUAAGUAGUUUAGAGAUAGCAGAUCACAUUCAAUUACUCAAAUCAUUGAUAUGAGACUCCCAUCAUCCGAUCUAGAUCUGGCUAGAUUUGAGUGGAGAUCCACUCGAGUGUAUCGAAGUUUGCCUUAUAUAGAGGUAGCAGCUACCUUUCAAGGUGAGGCCAUCUUGUCCUUUCAUGUUAUUUCUUUAUUACUUCAGCAUUUAAGAAAAUAUUGGUGUUUAGCAAGGAUGCCUGCAACUAGUUCCUUUUCUCUACGUAUAUAUUACUAAACCGAAAAGGAAGAAACUCAUGGGAUCUUUUAUUUGCUUUUUGUUAAAUGCAGGCUUUUGAAUUUAUUCUCUUUCCCUUCUUUCAUUACCAGAGCGUUGUUUGGGUUCAUCUUCAUGAGAAAAAAUGAAGCACUUUUUUGUAAUAUAUAAUAUAUAUUUGUGUUUUUGUUGUUCGUUUAAAAACUUUAGUGAUCUUUCUAGAUCCAAAAAGGAUCAAUACUCUUUUUUUUUGGUACAUCGGCAGCUCACUCACACCUAGUGUGAACAUAGCCCAAAGAGUCAGACAAUAGAAGAGAAUACAAGGGAGACAAAAUGGAGUUGUGGAUCUCUCAGAUAAAAUCUCCGGAGUGAUGAGCUGCAUAUGAUGCCACCCAAUCUACAGUACUAUUGGCCUCUUUGAAGACAUGGGUGGCCCGAAAUACAACACAUUCACCUAACAAAAGGCGAAUAUCAUGAAGCAACUGCGUCCCCCUGACGGCACUCCCGGGCCCCAAGUUCCUCUCGAUCACCAUAGUAGAGUCCCCUCAAUCAUGAUAUGCUCUGCCCCCAGCACCCGUCUGGCAUAGAAAACACCCUCGCAGGCAGCACGAACCUCGGCACCUGCGACGGACUGAUCGAAAAUGCGUCGACCUCCGACAGCUACGAGCCUGGCUCGUUGAUCCCUGAUGACGAAACCGAUGCCACAACGACCAUCCUCUUUGAUACUACCGUCGAAUUUUAUCUUGAGAAAACCAAGGGGUGGGAGCUCCCAGGAUAUAAGCAUAAGCCUGGGCGCUGCUAGAGCGUAAUGAGAGUUCUAGAUUUCUCUGGCCCAUCCAAGGGACGACGACGCAGUAGUAUCAAGGAUCUUCGCCCCAAGAAGUAGGGCUCUGUCCGCCACCACUCUCGGGGGUGCUCUAUCCUCAAAUACUCUUGAAAAAUAUUAAGCUCUUAUAGACCUGCUUUAGAGAAUGUUAUUCAUGUUAAGUAGCAUUUCUGAUCAAAAUGCCAUUUUUCGUCACAUACUCCGUAUCUUUUUUAUUUUUUUAAUGUAAUAUUUUUUCAUUUAUUGAAGUAUUUUACUAUAUUCAACUUUGAUAUAUUCAAUAUAUAAAUUUUAGAAGGAAUGCUAUAAGAACACAUCUUGUAGAUAAUAAACAUCUGAAUGCUGCAUGAACAAUAUUUGAUUUGAUUUUCCAGUUGCCCUGCAUCUAGUGAUAUACUGGGUCUACGUAGUUGAGGGGUCUGGGAGUGAUCAUGGUAAAUUUAGUACUGUGUUCAGAACUUCAGAUGGCCCUAAUCUAAAUGCAUGUGUAAAUUUAGUACUGCUGAAUAUAAAAUGUUGAUAUUAUCUUGUUGCCAUCUAGCUGCACUGGCAAAACUGGUGGUUGAACUCCACAGGGCAACUCUGUUUGAUCCAGGAAAACAGAUGUUGAAGUAGAAAAGUAGAUUAUGAUCUGAAAUAGACUUUUCCAGUUUGUUGUCAGAUCUGGCGUGAAGCGUAAUAUAACAGUAUCAUGUUGCAGAUCUUCCCUGUCUAGUGACAUCAAGGAUCUUUGCAAUGAGGGAUAUGCAUUGAGGGAUGCAAAAUUCAGAUUUCUUCAAAUGCCAUCACAUUUAAAGCUUCCUAUCCCCUAUUUGAGCAAUAAUAUGGGGCUACAGUUCCAGCAACUAAUGCAUGAUAGCCCCAUGGCCUCUUGAUAGAAAGGUUGUGAUGAAUUCAGCAAAAUAUCCUUCUAAAUCUACUGAUCUUGUUACUGCUUGUGACCACCUUGCAAACACCCAAAAGAAAGAAGAUCAUGAUCAAAUGGCAUUCAGUUUUCAUGAGUGCUUUUCUCUGUCCUAUUUUAAAUUUGAAAUCAGGGUAUUUUCGAAGUUUUCCUUGUCCAUGUUUUGAGAAGGGUAUUCCUUUGAUGAAAUAAAUUAUACACGAUGAA